rnacentral:rRNA from 1 species
AGCGGCGGAUGGGUGAGUAACACGUGGGGAACCUGCCCCUAAGUCUGGGAUACCAUUUGGAAACAGGUGCUAAUACCGGAUAAUAAAGCAGAUCGCAUGAUCAGCUUUUGAAAGGCGGCGUAAGCUGUCGCUAAGGGAUGGCCCCGCGGUGCAUUAGCUAGUUGGUAAGGUAACGGCUUACCAAGGCGACGAUGCAUAGCCGAGUUGAGAGACUGAUCGGCCACAUUGGGACUGAGACACGGCCCAAACUCCUACGGGAAGCAGCAGUAGGGAAUCUUCCACAAUGGACGCAAGUCUGAUGGAGCAACGCCGCGUGAGUGAAGAAGGUUUUCGGAUCGUAAAGCUCUGUUGUUGGUGAAGAAGGAUAGAGGUAGUAACUGGCCUUUAUUUGACGGUAAUCAACCAGAAAGUCACGGCUAACUACGUGCCAGCAGCCGCGGUAAUACGUAGGUGGCAAGCGUUGUCCGGAUUUAUUGGGCGUAAAGCGAGCGCAGGCGGAAAAAUAAGUCUAAUGUGAAAGCCCUCGGCUUAACCGAGGAACUGCAUCGGAAACUGUUUUUCUUGAGUGCAGAAGAGGAGAGUGGAACUCCAUGUGUAGCGGUGGAAUGCGUAGAUAUAUGGAAGAACACCAGUGGCGAAGGCGGCUCUCUGGUCUGCAACUGACGCUGAGGCUCGAAAGCAUGGGUAGCGAACAGGAUUAGAUACCCUGGUAGUCCAUGCCGUAAACGAUAAGUGCUAAGUGU